rnacentral:lncRNA from 1 species
AAUGAUUGAGAACAUGAAAGGAAUCAAGAUGAUAAAUUAAAGGAUAUGAUUAACAUCAUUCAACACAAAUAUCAAUAUGAUAAAAAUUAUUCAAUCCUAAAGUCUCAUCACAAUACACCUCAGAAUUAACAAUAAACCAACAUAAUUAUUCAAAAGAUAUUUGGGGUUCAAAAUGGACCUUCUAGAUGGCAAAUAUUGAUAAGAAAAAGUUGAAACAAUGACAAGACAAAAGGAAACAGUGGCAGUGCAUGCAAGCUAUGCUUAGAAGAGGUUGUCAUGGUUGGCACAUUAUUUCAUGCUCUAUAAAAAGCUAAUUAGCACAUGGACUUGCUUGCAGGAUGUGCAACUUCAUCCUCUUUGUUCCUGUACCAGCGAUGUCAACCAUUGUUGUAUAUGGAGAGAGAUUAGAGCUGAUAAAGUUUUGAUUAUUAAAUUUCUCUCUCUACUAUUUCUCUUGAAUCUGCUCAUAUAAGGAUUGUUGGGCUGCAUGGAUUAAGUGGUUGUGUAAUACUUAAUAAUAGUUGAGAAUUACAAAAUGAGCACUCAAAUGGCUGCAAACACUUUUUUUUUUCUUGGAAAGUUUAUUGGAAAAGAAGGGUAAACAAUUAUGUUAUGAUAAAUGACAUUCUUAAAAUAAAUUUAGGAGAAAACAAUUAGGAAAGGUAAAUUUACCUUGGAAAUGAUGUAAUAAGAAUGAUCUUUAUUUUCUCGUAAACAUAACACACCUCUUACUCAAAUUUUUAAAACCAAUGCAUAUUUUAAAAUUCUUAAUCUCCUUAAAGAACUAGGUGAUGACUCCAUUUUCUAUAUUUUUUUUUAAUUUUAGAGGUUCAUAUUCAUGUCAAGUUUGAUACCUUUAAUGUCACAUCCAAGAAAAAACCUAUUUAGAACUUAUAAUUUCUAGGCUGAUUUUCAGUUACAACAAAUUAAACACAAAGCAUUGAAAACUAGAAAUAUAAAAUAUACAUAAUAUCAAUAUAUACAAUACAAAAUUGAUUAUCCUUGAUACAACAUCCGGAAAGAAAUUUAAAUAUGAUUUACAAUUCUUGAACCAAUUUUAGACUACAAGAAAUAUAAAUCAAUCAACAUGUUAAAUAAAAAUAACAAAAACAAACUUAUACAUUGAUCAAACCAAACAAGAUUCAUCACAAUUCAAAAACUAACAACACGUUAAAAAUUAUUCAAAAUAAACAAUUUAAUUCAAAAAUAACCUUUGAGAGGUACGAGCGUCAACAAGAAACUGUUGGAAAUAGUCCGUCAACCUCGGCCCAUGUACUCCAUGACUAUACUUGCAUAAACAAACAGAAAAACAAGAUGAUUUCAUGGGGGAAAGAGAUUAUGAGCGUUAUUGGGCUCAUUGGAGUAUUUUGGCUCGGUUUUUGUACUGAGAGGAAGGAUGAAAUUUGUGUUAAUUUGGGGUUUGGUAAUGAGAGAUGAGGUUGGCCUGGCAGUGACGUGGAGAUGUUGGGUUUCCAAAGAAUAUGAUGGUUUAGUGUUUGCUGCUGUCGUAGGUUUAUCUGGUUUCGUGAGGGGGAUAAGACAGCGUGUGGUUAAUGCUGAGGAAGAGACUAGACUGUCGUGAGAAGUUUUUAAAAUAUGAGGUGGUGGUUUAUCGGUCGGAGAGUGGAAAAAGGAUACAAUGGCUAUUGUGAUUUUUUGUUUUGAAUGAGAUUUUUUUUCCGACUGGGAGAGAGUGUUAUUGCUUUUUUAUAAUGUCUUGUCUAGG